GUAGGUGAACCUGCGGAAGGAUCAUUACCGAGUAAGGGUCUUCCAGGCCCGACCUCCAACCCUUUGUUUAACCAACCACGUUGCUUUGGCGGGCCCGCCCUUUGGGGCCGCCGGGGGCUUUACGCCCCUGGCCCGUGCCCGCCGGAGCCAUCUUAAAUUCUGGUAACUGUGCCGUCUGAGUAUAGAUAUAAAUCGUUAAAAAACUUUCAACAACGGAUCUCUUGGUUCUG
rnacentral:misc_RNA from 1 species